rnacentral:lncRNA from 1 species
GAGGUGUUGAACUGUCUGCAGAGAGAACUCAGUAUUUAGAGAAGUUACAUGCAAUGGCUUAAAUAGGUGAAAAAGAAAUGAAAAAUCCAUUCAGGUUGUCUGGCUCAACAGCUCCACUGUUAAUAUGUGUCUAAAAGAGACAGUAGAGUUUUUCUCCUCACUAGUAUAUCAAAAAAACCCCAAAAGUUUAAGUUGAUCCUCCACUGUGAGGUUUGUCUAUAUGAGAAUACUAGGAAAAUGAAUCUAGAUUUGUAAAAGUCUUCUCACCAAAGUUGGACUAAAUCUUCUGUGGACAAUCCCAUCUAAAUUUAAUGUUCUUCAGCUUCUGUGUCCUAAUUUGCUAAAGAAGUGAAUGACAUCCACUUCGCUGUGGAAUGAACAUGCCCACAGAAAUGUAAUUAAACUGGAUCUCCUUACAAAUUAGUUCAGCUCAUGAGUUACUUGUUAAACAAGUUUGUAGGUCGAGUGUAUGAUUCUGAUCUACAUGUUGCAAUCCAAGACUACAGAACAUAUUUGGCUGGCAAAGACUUUUGGGUAGCAUUAAUCACUGCCAGCAAGGUGUGCAGGGCCCAGGUUUGCCAGGAGAAAGUGUUUUCAGCACUGCUCAUCUCAGGCUUAACUUGAGAAGUUGCAGCAUGCUGGGAUUUUGGACACAGUCCCAAACAGGACAAGUGGGCACUGAAGAAAAAGAGCCAACGAAGCGCAAGAAAAAGAUGUGCCACAGUCUACUGGCAAUGGCUUUCUACUCUAAGAUGCUGUAUCAAGCGCUGCUGCUGUGUAAUCACCCGGGAGAUUUUGCCUCAUGUAUCACCUCUGCUCUCUCCAGCAUUUUAGCAGUUCUUUGGAACUUUGCUGGCCUGAAGCUGUCGCAUGCACAGGACCACAACACAGUGAAGGUGAUGGAAUUCUUGUCCCUGGAUGGAGAAAUGUGGAAUGAGAAGCAUAAACAGGAGCUGGUAGGGAGGAGUCAGUCUGCUCCAUCAUGCAGUGUCUUGGGAGCAAAGGGGCACAUUCCUACAGGUACAUGCCAUUGGCACCCGCUGGCCACGUCCCAUGUAACUCCUGGGAUGGACGGGCCCACUUGCUGCAAGCCCACGACAGCACCCUGGGUCUAGGAGCUGCUACCAGCUCCUCAACCCCUCUGGAGACAAUUUGCUUUUGCAGUGGGAAACGUAAAUGGUGAGAUGGUGAUGAUGAUGAUGAUAAUGACAGUGAUGGCAUUGCUUUGUUUCUUUACCUGACUACUUCUGUCUGUUGUUUUGCAGGCUGUGUUGAGUGCAACAGUCUACACAUCUAUAUUCUUCUGAUUGUCCUUAAGCUUACAGGCUUUUUAGAAGGGUGAAGAGCUUCAGAGAAGCUGGCAGUGCUCCUGUCAUCAGCUGGCAGUCAUAAGUGGAAUGCUUUAACCACAACAUAAGGGAGCAGCUUGGACCAUAAACAAGCUGUCUGGAUACCUACAAGUUAUUCUCAAAGAAAACUGUUUUCUUUGUAUCUCUGAACAAUUUGCUGUUCUUUAAAUCUUCAGAGCACCGAAAUCAUGACAUUUUCACCAAAACAUCCACCAGAGUCUGGCCUGAGAAAUACAAGGCCUUGCCCCCCAAGCAGGCCCUGUUUCUUUUUCCCUGUACUACACACGCUGGCCACAAGAACUACAAAGCUUGUGGCUUUAGCACAUUGCCCCCAAAUCAAUGACUACAGGGAGAGGAAAAGAAUGAGCUUCUAACUGCUCCAACCAAGAGCCUUAUUUCCACCUGUUAGACAACAUCUUUAGACAACAUCUCUGCCUAUCAGCACAGUCCAAC